AUGGCGUGUUUUGUUGAUGCGGUGGUCGACGGAGCGGUUGGUGCAGCGGUCGGCACCAUCGUCAACGACAUGCAAGCUAACACUGAUGGCGCCGACACGGACCUCCUCAAGCAGAUCCAGGAGCUUCGAGCUGCCGAGGGUCUCACCUCCUACAUCGGCGAAUUGGAUCUGUUUGACAGGGCGCCAAGGGAAGGCGCGGAGACCGGCCCAGAGGCACCGCUUGUCUAUGACUACACGGGGACGGGAUUGGGCGCGACAACGCCUUACAUCCCUCCUCCAGCACAAGCUAUUCGCCAAUUUACCAUGCCCGAGUUUGUCCUUCUCUAG
rnacentral:rRNA from 1 species